CCGCACGCGCGAUACACUGACACGAGCAGCGAGCUUCUUCCUGUUCCGAAAGGAUCGGGGAAUCUUGUAAAUCGUGUCGUGUCGGGGAUCGACUAUUGUAAUUAUUAGUCGUGAACAAGGAAUUCCUAGUAAGCGCAAGUCACUAGCUUGCGCUGAUUACGU
rnacentral:rRNA from 1 species